GACGGAGGAUGCAAGUGUUAUCCGGAAUCACUGGGCGUAAAGCGUCCGCAGGUGGCACUUCAAGUCUGUCGUCAAAGACUGGGGCUUAACCCUGGAAAGGCGGUGGAAACUGAAGCCCUAGAGUGUGGUAGGGGUAGAGGGAAUUCCCGGUGUAGCGGUGAAAUGCGUAGAGAUCGGGAAGAACAUCGGUGGCGAAGGCGCUCUACUGGACCACAACUGACACUCAGGGACGAAAGCUAGGGGAGCGAAUGGG
rnacentral:rRNA from 1 species